UUUGUGUAGGAUAGGUGGGAGACUGUGAAGUGGUCACGCUAGUGGUUGUGGAGUCGAAAGUUGAAAUACCACUCUGAUCGGAUUGAGCACCUGAACCUUGGCCCAUGAUCUGGGUUGGGGACAGUGCCUGGUGGGUAGUUUAACUGGGGCGGUUGCCUCCUAAAGUGUAACGGAGGCGCCCAAAGGUUCCCUCAGCCUGGUUGGCAAUCAGGUGGUGAGUGUAAGUGCACAAGGGAGCUUGACUGUGAGACUGACAGGUCGAGCAGGGACGAAAGUCGGGACUAGUGAUCCGGCACCUACUUGUGGAAGUGGUGUCGCUCAACGGAUAAAAGGUACCCCGGGGAUAACAGGCUGAUCUUCCCCAAGAGUCCAUAUCGACGGGAUGGUUUGGCACCUCGAUGUCGGCUCGUCGCAUCCUGGGGCUGGAGUAGGUCCCAAGGGUUGGGCUGUUCGCCCAUUAAAGCGGCACGCGAGCUGGGUUUAGAACGUCGUGAGACAGUUCGGUCUCUAUCCGCCGCGCGCGUUGAAACUUGAAGAAGGCUGUCCCUAGUACGAGAGGACCGGGACGGACGUACCUCUAGUGUGCCAGUUGUCACGCCAGUGGCAGGGCUGGUUGGCUACGUACGGGAGGGAUAACCGCUGAAAGCAUCUAAGCGGGAAGCCUGUUUUGAGAUGAGGUUUCUUUUGAGGUUCCCUCUAGACUAGGGGGUUGAUAGGCCAGAUCUGGAAGCGUAGUAAUGCGUUAAGGUGACUGGUACUAAUUUUACCGAGUAAUAACA
rnacentral:rRNA from 1 species